rnacentral:rRNA from 1 species
UUCAGAGGUCUCGAGCGUUGUUCGGAUUUACUGGGCGUAAAGGGAGCGUAGGCGGCCGGGUGUGUCGAAUGUGAAAGCCCACAACUCAACUGUGGAAUGGCAUUCGAAACUACCUGGCUAGAGUACUGGAGAGGAGAGCGGAAUUCUUGGUGUAGCGGUGAAAUGCGUAGAUAUCGGGAGGAACACCGGUGGCGAAGGCGGCUUUCUGGCCAGUUACUGACGCUCAUGCGCGAAAGCUGGGGUAGCGAACCGGAUUAGAUACCCCGGUAGUCCCU